rnacentral:rRNA from 1 species
AUGUGGGUGCUGGGCAUGGCGUCCUGCGCCGUGCUCUCCUUCCUCAACCAGUUCUUCUGGUACCGCAAGGAGCCGCUCACCAUCACCGCCAUCUCCGCGCAGAUCACCGUCGUGCCGCUCGGCCGCCUCAUGGCCGCGGCGCUGCCAGAGCGGGCCUUCCUCCGCGGCUCGCGCUGGGAGUUCACCCUCAACCCAGGGCCGUUCAACGUGAAGGAGCACGUGCUGAUCACCAUCUUCGCCAACGCCGGCGCCGGCACCGUCUACGCCAUCCACGUGGUCACCGUCGUCCGCGUCUUCUACGGCAAAAACCUCACCUUCUUCGUCUCCCUCCUCGUGGUGCUCACCACGCAGGUGCUCGGGUUCGGGUGGGCGGGGAUUUUCCGGCGGUACCUCGUGGAGCCGGCGGCCAUGUGGUGGCCGUCCAACCUCGUGCAGGUCUCCCUCUUCAGGGCACUCCACGAGGAUGAAAGGCGGCGAAAAGGGGGCUUCACGCGCAACCAGUUCUUCCUGGUGGCGUUCGCCUGCAGCUUCGCAUACUACGCCUUCCCAGGCUACCUGUUCCAGAUGCUCACCUCACUCUCCUGGAUCUGCUGGGUGUUCCCCAACUCAGUGUUCGCCCAGCAGCUCGGCUCAGGUCUCCACGGGCUCGGCAUCGCCGCAAUCGGCCUUGACUGGGCAUCCAUCUCCAGCUAUCUAGGAAGCCCUCUCGUCAGCCCCUGGUUCGCCACUGCGAAUGUCGCUGCAGGCUUCUUCAUCGUCAUGUACAUCAUCGUGCCUAUUGGGUACUGGUUUGAUUUCUACAAGGCGCAGACCUUCCCCAUCUUCUCUUCCGGUCUUUUCACCUCCGGCGGGCAGAAGUACAACAUCUCAGCUAUCGUGGACGACAAUUUCCAUCUAGAUACAGAGGCAUAUGAGAAAAACGGUCCACUGUACCUCAGCACUCUCUUUGCUGUCACAUAUGGUAUCGGUUUCGCGUCACUUACCGCGACGAUUGUUCAUGUCCUCCUGUUCCAUGGAAGGGAAAUUUUGCAGCUAAGCAGAUCAGCUUUUCAAGGGAAAAGUGUGGACAUACAUACAAAGCUAAUGAGGAGAUACAAGCAGGUCCCUGAGUGGUGGUUCAUCUGCAUCCUUGUAGUUAACAUUGCCUGUCACUGUAUUCGCUUGCGAAUACUACAUAGAGCAGCUCCAGCUGCCCUGGUGGGGUGUGUUACUUGCAUGCGCCAUUGCAUUUUUCUUCACCCUCCCAAUUGGAAUUAUCACAGCAACAACAAACCAGGUAAGGAUUCUAUCAACUUUCAUCACGGCAUGCCAUACGUAUCUGAAGCACCAAAUCCACAACUCACAUUCUUCCACUGUAUGCAGACCUCAGGACUGAACAUCAUCACAGAGUACAUCAUCGGGUACUUGUACCCCGGACGACCCGUCGCAAAUAUGUGCUUCAAGGUAUACGGUUAUAUCAGCAUGCACCAAGCUCUGAUGUUUCUGCAAGAUUUUAAGUUGGGCCACUACAUGAAGAUUCCCCCAAGGACCAUGUUUAUGGCUCAGGUGGUCGGAACAACGAUCGCGGCAUUCGUGUACCUUGGGACAGCAUGGUGGCUGAUGGACACAAUCCCCAACAUCUGCGACAUUGAGCUACUCUCAGCGGGCAGCCCUUGGACCUGCCCCGGUGAUCAUGUGUUCUAUGACGCGUCGGUCAUAUGGGGUCUUAUUGGCCCGCGCAGAAUAUUCGGGGACUUGGGAACUUACGCGGCAGUGAACUGGUUCUUCUUGGGGGGAGCCGUCGCCCCGCUCCUCGUAUGGUUAGCGCACAGGGCAUUCCCAGGCCAGAACUGGAUCGUACUCAUCAACAUGCCCGUGAUGCUGGGUUCCAUCUUCCAGAUGCCACCCGCCACAGCAGUUAACUACACCACAUGGAUACUGAUUGGGUUUCUAUCAGGUUAUGUGGUAUAUAGAUAUCGACGUGACUGGUGGGAGCGACACAAUUAUCUGCUUUCAGGUGCACUAGAUGCUGGUUUGGCAUUCAUGGCCGUGUUAAUUUACCUGUGCCUAGGCUUGGAGAACAUCAGUUUGAACUGGUGGGGAAAUGACUUGGAUGGAUGUCCCUUGGCUUCUUGCCCCACUGCUAAAGGUAUAGUUGUCAAGGGCUGCCCAGUGUACAACUAA